AGUGAACGCUGGCGGUAGGCCUAACACAUGCAAGUCGAACGGCAGCACAGUAAGAGCUUGCUCUUACGGGUGGCGAGUGGCGGACGGGUGAGGAAUACAUCGGAAUCUACUUUUUCGUGGGGGAUAACGUAGGGAAACUUACGCUAAUACCGCAUACGACCUACGGGUGAAAGCAGGGGAUCUUCGGACCUUGCGCGAUUGAAAGAGCCGAUGUCGGAUUAGCUAGUUGGCGGGGUAAAGGCCCACCAAGGCGACGAUCCGUAGCUGGUCUGAGAGGAUGAUCAGCCACACUGGAACUGAGACACGGUCCAGACUCCUACGGGAGGCAGCAGUGGGGAAUAUUGGACAAUGGGCGCAAGCCUGAUCCAGCCAUACCGCGUGGGUGAAGAAGGCCUUCGGGUUGUAAAGCCCUCUUGUUGGGAAAGAAAAGCAGCAGGUUAAUACCCCGCUGUUCUGACGGUACCCAAAGAAUAAGCACCGGCUAACUUCGUG
rnacentral:rRNA from 1 species